ensembl:lncRNA
UUGUUGUUUUUUUUUUUUUUUUUUUUUUUUUUUUUUUUUUUUAUUAAAAAAAUUCUUUCCAAGUACCCAGUGAAACCUGCUAAAGUACCCUCUGGUGUAAACAUACCCCUGGUUUGGAAUCAACGAUGUGAUGGACAAACAAGCACAAACUUGGCAAUAUCUGCAUCAAAUCUCCCAGAGCCGGGACGAGAGCAUCGCUCACAGAUUUAUGAAGAAUCCAGAAAUGUGUCUCAUCAUUAUGAAGGAAGGUCUUUAACCAGUCCAACUCUUGGCAGGUGCAGAACACUAAAGGACCAUUUUAUUUCUAAAUUAGUCUGAAAGGCGCACCACAAAGACUGGAAAUGCUGCUGCCCUUUCAUUUUAAAUGGUACGUUGGCAUUUAACACUACACAUGUCAGCAGAACUUCACUCUCCAUUUAUGGCUUCUUAAUGUAUGUGUAUUUGUUCACUGCCACUUAUGAUAUUAGCUGUUGUCAUCUGCAGUGGAAAAGGACAUUGCAGAUAUGAAAAAGCAUUAUUGUGAUCAUAAAUGAAUUUGUAAACUACAUUCAUAAACUCCCACCUUUUUAUAUAGCCUCCUCCACUUUCCAGUAGCACAAAAUAAUCGACUUUUACACACAGAAAAGAAAAAAAAAACUUAUAUAGAAAAAACUAUAGCACAUUACUGUAAUUGUUUUUCAUUUCCCCUCUUCCUUUCCUU